AACCAUCAGCGGUGGAUGUCUCGGUUUCCUGAUCGAUGACGAGCGUAGCAAAUUGCGAUAACUAAUGUGAAUUGCAGAGUAUGUGAAUCAUCGAGUCCUCGAACGCACUGCGCCUUGGGACCUCGGUCCCUCGGCAUGCCUGACUCAGCGUCGAACGUUCCUGCAGUACAACCUGCGUGUGGCAUCUGCAGCCGGCCCGUCCGGCUGCUCCUGCCUGAGUUCACUGCUUGCCCUUCCGGGCGAGCCCGAGCAAGACAACCAGCACCUGGACCCUCUGCGAUCCUGCCGGUCAACUGAUUACUCAUUGAUUGGAGCGGGUGAGCUCUGGACGAAGGGCUGCUGGCCCCUGUUCUCUUCUAUAGACCUGAGCUCAGGUAUGACUACCCCGGGGAUUUAAGCAUAUCAAUACCGGGAGGAAAAGAAACUAACUAGGAUUCCCUUAGUAACUGCGAGUGAAGCGGGA
rnacentral:misc_RNA from 1 species